UACAGAGGGUGCAAGCGUUAAUCGGAAUUACUGGGCGUAAAGCGAGCGUAGUCGGUUAUUUAAGUCGGGUGUGAAAGCCCCGGGCUCAACCUGGGAAUUGCAUUCGAUACUGGAUAGCUAGAGUUCGGCAGAGGGAAGCGGAAUUUCCGGUGUAGCGGUGAAAUGCGUAGAUAUCUGGAGGAACACCGGUGGCGAAGGCGGCAUCCUGGACCAAUAUUGACGCUGAGGAGCGAAAGCUAGGGGAGCAAACGGG
rnacentral:rRNA from 1 species